GGCUCCAUAGUGUAGUGGUUCACACAUUUGCUUUACACGCAGAAGGUCCUGGGUUCGCUCCCCAUGUUGAGCCA
rnacentral:tRNA from 1 species